UUUCAACAACGGAUCUCUUGGCUCUGGCAUCGAUGAAGAACGCAGCGAAAUGCGAUAAGUAAUGUGAAUUGCAGAAUCCAGUGAAUCAUCGAAUCUUUGAACGCACAUUGCGCCCGCCAGCAUUCUGGCGGGCAUGCCUGUUCGAGCGUCAUUUCAACCC
rnacentral:rRNA from 1 species